AUUGAACGCUGGCGGCAUGCCUUACACAUGCAAGUCGAACGGCAGCACGGGAGCAAUCCUGGUGGCGAGUGGCGAACGGGUGAGUAAAGUAUCGGAACGUGCCCAGUCGUGGGGGAUAACGUAGCGAAAGUUACGCUAAUACCGCAUACGAUCUAUGGAUGAAAGCGGGGGAUCGCAAGACCUCGCGCGAUUGGAGCGGCCGAUAUCAGAUUAGGUAGUUGGUGGGGUAAAGGCUCACCAAGCCGACGAUCUGUAGCUGGUCUGAGAGGACGACCAGCCACACUGGGACUGAGACACGGCCCAGACUCCUACGGGAGGCAGCAGUGGGGAAUUUUGGACAAUGGGCGAAAGCCUGAUCCAGCCAUGCCGCGUGCAGGAUGAAGGCCUUCGGGUUGUAAACUGCUUUUGUACGGAACGAAAAGGUUUGGCCUAAUAAGCUGAGCUCAUGACGGUACCGUAAGAAUAAGCACCGGCUAACUACGUGCCAGCAGCCGCCGCAGUAA
rnacentral:rRNA from 1 species